rnacentral:rRNA from 1 species
GACGAACGCUGGCGGCGGGCUUAACACAUGCAAGUCGAACGGAAAGGCCCUGCGUUUGUGGGGUUCUCGAGUGGCGAACGGGUGAGUAACAGGUGAGUAACCUGCCCUUGACUUUGGGAUAACUUCAGGAAACUGGGGCUAAUACCAGAUAGGAGCUGCUGCUGCAGGGUGGGGGUGGGAAAGUUUCGGCGGUUGGGGAUGGACGCGCGGCUUAUCAGCUUGUUGGUUGGGUAGUGGCUUACCAAGGCUGUGACGGGUAGCCGGCCUGAGAGGGGGACCGGCCACCUUGGGCCUGAGAUAGGGCGCAGACUCCUACGGGAGGCAGCAGUCGGGAAUAUUGCACAACGGGCGGAAGCCUGAUGCAGAAACGCCGCGUGCGGGAUGACGGUCUUUGGGUUAUAAAAAGCUUUAGCCUGUGACGAAGCGUGAGUGACGGUACUCGGUAAAGAAGCACCGGCUAACUACGUG